rnacentral:tRNA from 1 species
GGGGGUUUAGCUCACCUGGUAGAGCGCCAGCUUUGCAAGCUGGAUGUAAGGAGUUCGAUCCUCCUAACCUCCA